GCUCCGAUGAUGCAAUUGGAAGACAUGACCGACUUAAAAUCGGUUUGUUGCGAGUUCGACUCUCGCUCGGAGUACCA
rnacentral:tRNA from 1 species